rnacentral:rRNA from 1 species
GACGAACGCUGGCGGCGUGCUUAACACAUGCAAGUCGAGCGGUAAGGCCCUUUCGGGGGUACACGAGCGCGAACGGGUGAGUAACACGUGGGUGACCUGCCCUCAGCUCUGGGAUAAGCCCGGGAAACUGGGUCUAAUACUGGAUAUGACUCCAUGACGCAUGUUGUGGGGUGGAAAGCCUUGUGCGGCUGAGGAUGGGCCCGCGGCCUAUCAGCUUGUUGGUGGGGNGAUGGCCUACCAAGGCGACGACGGGUAGCCGGCCUGAGAGGGCGACCGGCCACACUGGGACUGAGACACGGCCCAGACUCCUACGGGAGGCAGCAGUGGGGAAUCUUGCGCAAUGGGCGAAAGCCUGACGCAGCGACGCCGCGUGAGGGAUGACGGCC